GAUGAACGCUGGCGGCGUGCCUAAUACAUGCAAGUCGAGCGAACGGACGAGAAGCUUGCUUUUCUGAUGUUAGCGGCGGACGGGUGAGUAACACGUGGAUAACCUACCUUUAAGACUGGGAUAACUUCGGGAAACCGGAGCUAAUACCGGAUAAUAUUUUGAACCGCAUGGUUCAAAAGUGAAAGACGGUCUUGCUGUCACUUAUAGAUGGAUCCGCGCUGCAUUAGCUAGUUGGUAAGGUAACGGCUUACCAAGGCAACGAUGCAUAGCCGACCUGAGAGGGUGAUCGGCCACACUGGAACUGAGACACGGUCCAGACUCCUACGGGAGGCAGCAGUAGGGAAUCUUCCGCAAUGGGCGAAGGCCUGACGGAGCAACGCCGCGUGAGUGAUGAAGGUCUUCGGAUCGUAAAACUCUGUUAUUAGGGAAGAACAUAUGUGUAAGUAACUGUGCACAUCUUGACGGUACCUAAUCAGAAAGCCACGGCUAACUACGUG
rnacentral:rRNA from 1 species